rnacentral:tRNA from 1 species
CCCCUGAUAGCUCAGUUGGUAAAGAAUCUGCCUCUAAUGCAGAAGACCCCAGUUCGAUUCCAGGGUAGGGAA